GAUACUGUCAUUAUCAUCUCUGGCGAAAGAGCUUUACGACCCUAAGGCCUUCGUCACUCACGCGGCAUGGCUAGAUCAGGCUUGCGCCCAUUGUCUAAGAUUCCCC
rnacentral:rRNA from 1 species